UGUGCCGUGUCCUGUGUUUGUGCUGUGUGUAGUUACGUGCAUGUGGUAUGUGCUGUGUGCCAUGUAUUUAGUGCGUGUAGGUGUUGUGUGCUGUGCAUGUAGCACGUGUGCAGUGUGUACCAUGUGCUGUGUCUAGUAUGUAUAGGUGGUGUGUGCCAUGCAUGUAGUGUGCAUGGUAUGUAGCAUGUAGGUGGUGUGUGCUGUGCAUGUAGCAUGUGUGCAGUAUGUACCAUGUGCUGUGUGCCAUGUUGUGUUUAGUAUGUGUAGCUGGUGUGUGCCAUCUAUGUAGCAUGUAGGUGAUGCGUGGCAUGUAAGUGGUGUGUGCCAUGUGUGUAGUGUUGUACAGUGUUCUGUGUGCUAUGUGUCUAGUCUAUAUAGGUGGUGUGUGCCCUGUGUGUACUGUAUGUGUAGGUGGUGUGUGCUGUGUAGCACGUGUGCAGUGUUCCGUGUGCUGUGUGCCAUGUGUCUAGUAUAUACAGGUGCUGUGUGCCCUGUGUGUACUAUAUGUGUAGGUGGUGUGUGCUGUGUAGCACGUGUGCAGUGUGUACCGUGUGCUGUGUGCCAUGUGUUUAGUAUAUAGAGGUGGUGUGUGCCCUGUGUGUACUGUAUGUGUAGGUGGUGUGUGCUGUGUAGCAUGUGUGCAGUGUGUACCGUGUGCAGUGUGCCAUGUGUUUAGUAUGUGUAGGUGGUGUGUGCCCUGUGUGUACUGUAUGUGUAGGUGGUGUGUGCUGUGUAGCACGUGUGCAGUGUUCCGUGUGCUGUGUGCCAUGUGUUUAGUAUAUAUAGGUGGUGUGUGCCCUGUGUGUACUGUAUGUGUAGGUGGCGUGUAGCACGUGUGCAGUGUGUACCAUGUGCUGUGUGCCCUGUGUGGGAACAGGAGCUGCAUUUGCAAGCAGCCCAGGUCACGGGUGCGACUGAGCGGGGCUGCAGGACACUGGCCCAGGUGGCGCCGGGAAGAGCCUCCUGUCACCCGACCACCGAUGCAGUCCUGGGCAAGCCCUGAGCCUUCUCAGCCUCCUCUUCCUGCCCCCACCUCACUAACCCCCCCAUCCUCCCCCAGGUGGCUCUGGGAGCUGUCCCUGGGCCCGGAUGUCCGGCAGGGAGGAUCUCAGGGUCCCUGGGCCCCACGGCGGUGCACGGCUCAGCCUGGACCCUGCCAACUCCCCCAAAGCUUCCAGUCAGGGGUGUGGGAGGGGUGAGGAGGCAGAGGCCUGCAGGGCCGGGGAGGGAGUCGCCUGCCCCAAGCCCCCUCCCCAGGAGUCUGCCCACCCACCUGUCCUAGCAGACCAACUCCUGCCCACGGGCCUGGGCCUGUGGACGUUGCAGAGCCAGGCCCGGGGGAGCCGGUGGUCACUGGCCUCUCCUGCCAGGAGGCAGAGGCCGGGGUGGGGAGCUGCACUGACCAGCAGGGUGGGAGAGAAUGGCAGCUCUGGGCUUCGGCAUGAUUC